CGUUUUCGCGGAAAAUUGCAAACGCCGCUCUUUCUGCGCCUCGCAAAACUCGUCGUCGUUUUUCUCUUACGGGGUAUCGAGACUCAACCACUGCUCGUUAUUGCGUGAUUCAUGCCCGUGGCAAUUGAUAAGGCAAACUUCUUUCGAUCUUCACAUCUUUAAUUAUUGAUAUAGUUUUUCUCCCCGCUUGAUUCUCUGAAAGUUGCGAUUUUUCUUUAUCUUUAAUCUUCUUUUCUCACGGUAUAAAGGUUUGUCUGCGUUUUUGUUUAAUUUUGUGAUUUGAAGUCGCCGCCUUUAUGUUUGUUUUCAUAAUCCGAGCCUUGAAGGUUCUUUCAGGUCACCGCGUUUUACCUAUUCGAAGAUGUCAGGUUUACCGGCGCGGCGGAGAAGCAUUGGUGUCGAAGAAAAUAGGCGGAUUGUAUUAAUGUGUUGGUUGAAAGUUUGGAUGUAAAAGGAGAUAUGUUGGGCUUGAGUCCCGAUUGAUCUUUUGUCAUCUCAGACCUUUGCCAUGUCGGGUGCGCUCACAUGGCAGGUCGCAAACUUAAUAAAAAUAAACAAUUUUUUGGGUUCCCGAGGGGGAGAUCGCACGGGAUCUUUUUUGCCCGGGUCUUCCCUCUCAGUGUUGUGUUGUGCUCUUGUUUCUUUACGCUCUGGCUGCGGCUCAACUCCCAAACGACAUAAUCAUCUGCGAAAUCGAAAGCAACUGGAAAGGAGUAUGCAGCAAAUUGAAGCCAAGCUUAAGAGAUGUGGAGUUAUAUGACAUAUCCAAUGGUUUAUGUAUUUCUGGAUUUUCCAGUCAUGAGAUUUUAGUGCAAAAUUUUAUGAGUAUGGUUGAUUGGUUGCUAUGGAUGCUGUUUUCUUUGUCUGGGGAUUUUGCAAAUAUUGUUCUUUUCAGAUUGUGUAUGGAGCUCUCUAAGAGUAAAUGCAAGGUUUUCUUAAUGUUUUUGUCAAAGUUCCAAGAAAUCCAACCAUCCCUUGUCAAUUUUCCACCUGAAAUGCAAACAAGAAUGAGAGGAAGUUGUAAUGGCUUAUGGAUAAUCAACACCAGCAGUAUUGUUCCAAUUACUUUUGUAAUUUGGUCACGUACAGUUAGUUAUUACUCAUGGAUCAGUGAAGGUUUUAUAAGAAGCAUUUUAAUGGCAAAUGGUUUGUUGCAGUGAAGUGAUUUUAUUGUCAGGCAUUGCCAAUGUUUGUUAAACCUGUUCUUGUAUUUGCAUGAUAUUGGUAGUGGAUUAUAUCUGUUUUGGUGGAAGAAGACUUGAGAUUUUUCCAUGAAUUCAAUGAUUUGAAGAAUUGUGGUGUCAGCAAAGAUGGAAAGGAGUACUACAGCAAAUUGUAGCCAAGCCUAGCAGGGGUGGAGUUAUAUGACAUCUCCAAUGGUUUCUGUAUUUCUGAAUCUUCCAGUCAUGAGAUUUUCAUGCAAAAAAAUUUCAUGAGUAUGGUUGAUUAGUUGCUAUGGAUGCUGUUUUCUUUGUCUGGGGAUUUGGCUUUUUCCUCUCUAGACUUAAAUGCAAGGUUCUCUUAUCAAAGUUCCUGUAACGGCUUAUGGACAAUCAAAAGCAGUAGUAUUGUUCCAAUUACUUUUGUAAUUUGGUUAUGUACAGUUUGUUAUUACUCAAACCAAAAACCACUCAUGGAUCAGUGAAGGUUUAUAACAAGUAUUUUAAUGACAAAUGGUUUGUUGCAGUCAA